AGGGCUGGUUGAGGCCAAGGGUGAAGGAUGGAAGCUAUCAUUUAUCAAGUACCUGCUGCACUUCAGGGCAGUGCUUGGGGCUAUACCAUCCCUCCUUUGGUUUAUUUCUCAACACAGUCCUGGGAGAUGACUGUCUCCAUUUGACAGGUGAGAAAACUGAGCACAAACAACACCCAUUGCCAGGCAUUGAAUCAGAAAACUGCAGGAAAUCAUCCAGUCCAGCCCCUUCCUCGAAAGAAGCUGAAACUAGAUGAGCAAAAGGGAGAGACUUGUCCAAGGUCACUCAACUCAAGGUCACACACCAGACAGGAGGCCCUUGGAAUACAUCCCCCGACAUAUCCAUUUAUAAAACCAAUUAUUCCACAGCGAAUCCAAUGGGUUCAUGGGCUGCUACAGAACAUGUAGCCCGAAAUUUCCCCAAGAAAAAAGAAAGGGCAGUUAGGGGCAUGCUAAAAGAAAACGAGAGUGACCAUUCUGAAGGUGGGCUUGUUAAAGCUCAAAAUUGAGUGAGAAAAUGAUGAGAGAAUAUGAACAGGGCAAAGGAGGCCGCUGAGACUAAAGAGCACUGUCACCCUGACAACCGAUAUUUCUUUGUUCCUUUAUCUGUAUACUGGGAGACAGACAAAGUGAUUGAGUGAAAUAAAGGUAGGGAGGUGGGAAAUGGGUGACUGGUGGAGCAGGUCAGGCAAUUUAAUGGCUUCUUCCUUCUCAGUCUCCAGGGAGAAAAACCCAAGUUGCAAGAAGAGGAGGGAGUGUGGAAAGAGAUAGCCCCUGGAGCCCUUUGAAAAUCCUGAGCGGAGGGGCUUCCUCCAAGUCCAUGGGGCAAACGUGGAAGUUGGAAGCCCAGAGCUGCAGGCAGACCAGAUGGACUGGUCGUGUUGCCGAUGAUAUGCUGACCGUGGGCACUGGUUGAAGACCACCCAUCCCUCACUCAGCCGCUGAAGCCUCGCAUGUUCCAGACCCUGAAUUAAGUGCAGUCCAGGUAACAAAGGGGCUGAGUCUGUGAUCUGCCCUCAGGGAAGGCGAAGGCAGCUUGCUGGAGCAGUCAGGUUGGGGAAGACAUGUGGCGGGGAACCAAGGGCAGGCUCUGGCAACAACCGGCUAGGAAUGAGGGCAGCCUUUGGCUGACAGUCAACAAGAAGCAGGUCCUUGGUCUGACCACGUGCAAGGGCCCGAAUCCUGCCAACAACCGUGUAAGCUGGGAAGCAGAUGAUCCCUCUCCGGUUGAACCUUGAGAGAAAACAGCAGAAGCAAAGGCCUGGAGGUGGAAAGGCCUGUGAACACUGGGACAUUCUGCUUGUCCUGUGUGGCUGGAGCACAUCCAUGAGAGAAAAUAGAGCUGCUGUUUCUCUCACAUUUGGCUAAGUGGAUAUGGGGAGAGUGAUCAGAGGUUUGGCUCAUGGUGCCUGACGAUCCUGCAAUGCUGCAGUGAGGAAGCGAGAGGAGAUCAGCCCAGGAAGCUCUCUGGAUCCUGCCUGAAGCUGCCAACUGCUCCGAGGGAAGUGAUUUGGAAUAGGGGCGCAGAUGUCCAAGAAACAUCCCCUGACUUCCCUAGGCGCUCCUUCCUUUCUGGGACUCCCUCCAGCAAGUCCUGGCAGCGCUGCUUUCUCUCCAGGCCUCUCAUUGGAGAUUUCCUGCUGACCUGAAGCAUCGGUGGCCUUUGGUGGGGGUGACUCCUGCCAUCUUACCUAUCAUCCUUGUCGCUCAAGGACCUCCUAUUGCCUAAGACAAAGUCUGAAACCUCAUUCUGGUGUUCACCUCCCUCCCACACUGGCUCCCAGCUUCCUGUCCAGGGCCAUUCAUUUCCCUCCACCCCUUGCCUGGGUCCUUCACUCCGAAACCACAAAAAUCACAGGAGAACUGGACAUGCCUCCGGGUCUGGCUCACAUCCCCUCCCCCUGCUCCGUGUUCACACACCUAUAUACUGCCCAUCCUUCAGGCUUGGCCACCGCAGCCUUCUCCUUGGGCCCAUUCCCACUUCCAACUAGAAAAGUUGUCCUCCCUCCUAAGUCCCACAGUGCUGCACCCAGCCACGCUGCUCUUGGACGUUUAGUACUUGCUUCCCUCCAGGAUGGUGAUUUGUAUCUGUGUUUGCUUUUUUUUACAAGACUCCAGACACUGAAGUCUAUCACAUCCUUACUGCACCGUUUAAUAAAUAGACAUAUGACCUUGUA